UUCUUUUUCUGCCUUCUAUUUCGUUUCUUGGCAUUGUAUUGCUCUUUGCCACUCAGAAUUGAAAUAUGAUUUCAUGUAUAUUAUCAAAACUGUUAUAGUAUUGAAAAAACAUGCACGAUUGAAUUUUUGAAAGAUGUUCGAAAUUGCACGGGUCCGAAGGUGGAAGAACAAAUGGCAACCCAGUGAGAUCAUUGAUUUGUAGUUGAAAGAUUACGUAAUGCCUCAAAUUGUGACUGAAAAAAAGAGUAGAAAAACUGAAAAGAAAGCUUAAAGUCGUUAGCCUCAUGCCCCAGCGACCAAAAAUAAAAAAGAAUCCAUACCAUAUAAUAUUUUGGGGAUUUACAAAGAGUAGUGCAACUGGCGCAAACCGAAAUAAACAUAUUACAUCAUUACACAUUUCUGUCAUCUCCAAUGUAUUUCCAUGAACAAUGACUGAACCCUUCAACUGAUAUUUUAACUCACGAUUAUCGUGUCUAGGGUAGAAACAUGAGUGAUCAAGUCAUUUUUAAAAAUAACAUGGACUGGUGGGGCAUUUGCCCCACUGGACCCCUUCAUCUGCCCCACCAUUGAAGAAAAAAAUGGCCUAUUGCCCCAAAGCUAGGGCAAUAUGACCUGUAUUGGGUAAACGAGUUUAACAUUGAAAACAAGUUAAAAAAACAAAAUUUAUUGGCGAGCAUACAUAAACUUAACAGUUGUGUUUGAAUGUUUAGCG